CUGUGGGAAUUUGUGUAGGAGAAAUAAAGUGAAUAUGAGUGUCAAUUCCACCAGCUGUGACAAUCAAACCUUCACCCGCGAUUGCUUCUGUGCUAGCACCUACGACCAAAUCCAUGCCCACACCAUCUUGCGUAUCUCUGUUUCCUGCUUUGCCAAUUCCUGCGAUCUUGCCAUCUUUGAUGCCGAUGUCUGCUUUGUAAAUUCCUGUAUAGUCAAUGAUCAUUGCAUUUGUGAUCACUGCAUCGAGUUCAUUUACAUCGGGACUCACAGAUUGUGACAUACCAUCGCGG
rnacentral:sRNA from 1 species